rnacentral:ncRNA from 2 species
CGCGCCUAAAUUCUGUCGCGUUGUAUAUGUUGGAUGAAUGGGAUCUGACGUUUCUACCACCGAGCCUAUCUUGGUGACUACAACACAUUGUCUUGAUGCC